AAGCCCUCCAAGAUCAUCCAGUCCAACUGUUAACCUAACAUUGCCAAGUCCACCACUAAACCAUGUCCCUAAAUGCGACACGUACACACCUUUUAAAUACCUCCCAGGAUGCUGAUGCUGUCACU